rnacentral:rRNA from 1 species
UGAUGGAGCAACGCCGCGUGAGUGAUGAAGGCCUUCGGGUUGUAAAACUCUGUCAUUCGGGACGAACCGGAGUCUGAGGAAAUGCAGACUCUCUGACGGUACCGGAGGAGGAAGCCCCGGCUAACUACGUGCCAGCAGCCGCGGUAAUACGUAGGGGGCAAGCGUUGUCCGGAUUCACUGGGCGUAAAGCGCGCGCAGGCGGUGAUGUAAGUCUGAGGUGAAAACCCGAAGCUCAACUUCGGGACUGCCUUGGAUACUGCGUCACUUGAGGAUAGGAGAGGCAAGGGGAAUUCCACGUGUAGCGGUGAAAUGCGUAGAGAUGUGGAGGAACACCUGUGGCGAAGGCGCCUUGCUGGCCUAUUUCUGACGCUGAGGCGCGAAAGCGUGGGGAGCAAACAGGAUUAGAUACCCUGGUAGUCCACGCUGUAAACGAUGAGUGCUAGGUGUAGGUGGGCUCAUACCCAUCUGUGCCGAAGCUAACGCAUUAAGCACUCCGCCUGGGGAGUACGGUCGCAAGACUGAAACUCAAAGGAAUUGACGGGGGCCCGCACAAGCAGUGGAGCAUGUGGUUUAAUUCGAAGCAACGCGAAGAACCUUACCAGGACUUGACAUCCCAUAGACCAGUCUAGAGAUAGACUUUCCCUUCGGGGCUGUGGUGACAGGUGGUGCAUGGUUGUCGUCAGCUCGUGUCGUGAGAUGUUGGGUUAAGUCCCGCAACGAGCGCAACCCUUACUUUGUGUUGCCAGCAUUCAGUUGGGCACUCACAAGGGACUGCCGCCGAUAAGGCGGAGGAAGGUGGGGAUGACGUCAAAUCAUCAUGCCCCUUAUGUCCUGGGCUACACACGUGCUACAAUGGGCGGUACAACGGGAUGCGAAGCCGCGAGGUGGAGCCAAACCCUGAAAACCGUUCGUAGUUCGGAUUGUAGGCUGCAACUCGCCUACAUGAAGCCGGAAUUGCUAGUAAUCGCGGAUCAGCAUGCCGCGGUGAAUCCGUUCCCGGGCCUUGUACACACCGCCCGUCACACCACGAGAAUGGGCAACACCCGAAGUCGGUGGGGUAACCUUUACGGGAGCUAGCCGCCGAAGGUGGGGCCUGUGAUUGGGGUGAAGUCGUAACAAGGUAGCCGUA